AUGGAGGGCUCAGCGAACCAUUUGGGGAAACUCUGAGGAACAGAACGGGCUCAUCGCUCAAGUCCUGGCGUUCUGUGAGUGGCGUACAGAAUACUGAGAAUAUAAACGCACCUUCAAAGAUUGAUACACAAGGUUCUAAGACACUGUGCUAGAUCCUGCGGAUGUGGCCCUAAACCAGCAAGCUGGGCUCAGCUGUCACAGGAACUGCAGGCCUGCCCGCUGAGUACGGAUUUUGACGUUGACGCGGAUGGCUUAGGGGGGAAGAGCCGAGCAGGAGGACUGCAGGAACCCGCAAGAGCUGCCCCCCAGAGCCUCGGGUUCCCAGGAGCUGUGAGUACUGGAGCAGCACCAACUCACUGCUUGCCAGGGCUUGGGCUGUGGAGAUGCUUGUGACAAGGAUUUUCCCAGCUGGCAAAGGUCUGGCUGGCGGACUUCUGUGAGUGUUCCUCCCUCGCGCGAAGAAGUGUGGGAAUGAACGAAAGACGAACUGCAGCUGACUCUCUGUGGGAUCGGCUGUGACGCUGUGUUCCAGAUACUCAGACUCGGAAGCUCUGGAAGAGCAACACCCAUCUAUACCCCCGCAACACCCCACUUCCCUGCCAAUACUUGGUACUUCUCAGCUCUCUUAUUUUCCAGUGUAAUAGA